UUUGGCACCACUAGUCUCUAUACCCCCCUCUUGGCUAUAAAAUGGCGUUAAGAUUGAACAUAGUUAUAUAGUCAACAUAUCAAUGAUAAUGCAUUCAUUUUUCGGUCUGAGGGUCUUUCAUGAAGUGGUUGAAAGUGAAAUUAAGCCAAGGAUGACUUGCCGGCAAUCACUUGCUACUAAGCAAAAUUAAUUUUGCUUGAUUUAGCCGGCAGGUCAUCUUGUGGCUAUAUUUGACUUUCUUCUUCUCAUGUGAGACUCUAAUGACCUAUCGUUAAACUUAUCUAAAGAUCAAAUUGGUUGAGUUCUUUCUCAAAACUAUGGUAUAUCUCCGGACUGAUGAAACAAUACUCUUUUUUCUUGAUGAGUAUGUUUUUUCAUAAUUUUUAUUUUAAUAUUUAAGUAUUAUGUAGGACAUUUGAACAUUAAUGCUACAAAUAAAAGGAUGCAUGUCAACAUAAAAUGUCAGCUCCAUUGUAUGUGUGUGUAUUUUGUAUGUGGUAAAAUCUCAUGGAGAUCCUGCUUUAGAGAAGCUUGGAAAAAUGAAUAUCUAGUGUUAGAUGCUCUAUUAUAUCUUGUUGUUAUGAUUUCUGUGGCUGGUAAGAUAUAUAAAGACAUGUAUAUGUCUCUGACCUGAUACUAAUUGACAAAUAUUUUGUUACAUUAUUCAUGGCAACAGUAACUAAUGCAUGAUGAAAAAUUAAACCUUCAUAUAUUGUUAAACAUAAACAUCUCUCUCUCUCCAAUGUUUUCAUAAACAUUUGUUUAUUUGUGCAUAUUAUUUUAUUUGUUUAUUAUUUUUUCAAUUGAAAGCAGCAACAGUUGACGCAAAUUAUGUAGGAAUCUUAAAGAAAAGACUCAUUGUGCCUUGUGCUACUUGGUGUUAGGAUAAAAGUAAAAUAUACCUUUGUUUUUGGUAAAGUAAAAUUGGAUUUGUCUUUCUUUUUUCUUUUGUUAAAUCAAUAAUCUGUUUGGAUUUUCAAAUGUACAAUUCAACGUAACUGUUUGUUGAUGAUUGUGUAAUAAUGUUUCUUGUUAUAUAUAUCUAUUUGUCAUUUUUUUUUCUCCAAAUUAAAAAGUCAUGCUAUACAUCCAUAUAUAAUUUUUUAUCCAAAUAUAUCUAAGCUGACCUAAUAUAAAAAAAACUCAAUACCAUUAAAUGAGCGUGUAUAUUACACGCGCCUAGAGCACCGAAAAUGUUAACAUAUUCAUUUGCGCCUUGAAUAUGAAACAACGUUUCUUCUUCAACAUUGAAACCACUACUGGAGAACUUCGAAUCUCUCUCAAAAUCUCUCAAACUUUACUCGUGUUCUCUGCGAAAACCGUUACGGGAAAAGAAUCACGAGAAGAUUUCUAAAGGAAGACGAAAAAACGAAUGAAAACAAGAACAUUGACUCUGAAAGCAAAAAUGAAGAAGACAAUGGUGACAAAGAAAGAGAAGCCGCGCUAUAAUGUAAGCAUAUGUACACAUUAAAUAUAUUUAUCACAAAAAUCAGAGACCAAGUGAUUCGAGCAUUUGAAGCAAUAAGACUCCCAAAGCCAUUUGCUGUCAUCUCUAGCCCUUAUUGUAAAUUCACAUAUGGGAAUAUAGAUAGUAAAUAGGAUAUACUUUGUUUGACUGGUUGUAAUUAAAACUAUUUUGUUUAAUUUGUUUAAAAAAGCAAAUACUGCUUCUUUCAGUGUGUGUGUGUGUGUGUGUGUGGAUUAGUUCUUGUCCUGUCGGUCUGAGAUGUUAAUGUAUAUAUCUGUUGGAACUGUCUGACUGCUGUUUUGUUCUA